UAGCCUAUAUAAGAUAUCUAUGGGGAUUACAGAUGUACAUUUGAACCAAAUCCUGCGCUGUAACUUGUAAUUAUUCAUUAUUUUACAACGGUAGCUAACUGUAUAAACUAGAGAAGUGUAAAAAUGUAUUGUACAGCUAAGUUUAUGAUGCACGACAGCUUGUUGAAUUUCCAUGCGUUUUUUAGACACCCUGUAUAAGCAUGUUGAAUGUCAAUUGCUGACGUCAUUAGAAAUGUCAAUUUAAAAAAAAACGGUGGCCUAUGUUUAUCAUUAUUUUGUCCGGUG